GACAGAGGGUGCAAACGUUGCUCGGAAUUACUGGGCGUAAAGCGCGCGUAGGCGGCUUUGUAAGUUAGAGGUGAAAGCCCGGAGCUCAACUCCGGAACUGCCUUUAAGACUGCAUCGCUUGAAUCCAGGAGAGGUGAGUGGAAUUCCGAGUGUAGAGGUGAAAUUCGUAGAUAUUCGGAAGAACACCAGUGGCGAAGGCGGCUCACUGGACUGGUAUUGACGCUGAGGUGCGAAAGCGUGGGGAGCAAACAGG
rnacentral:rRNA from 1 species